GCCCUUCCCAUGUUUUCCUUGAGGUCAGAAACUGACCUAAGAGUUAAGGAAUUUGUUGAUAAAACUACUUGUCGAUUGGUCUGUGAAGUCUGGGUUAGUUUAGCUUCUACCAAUAAAUGACACAUCUGUGCAUGGGAUGUGGUGGGAUUCCCAUCCCUACAGAAAGAGAUUCAUGAGGCUAAAGAGCGACUGCAUGGAAAGGGUGUUGAUUACGAGGCUACUUUGGCUACUAAACUUUCAAUUGCGAAGAAAAUUUUUGCCUGUGAAAAGGAUCUAAUACUGAACCCUAGUUCCUUCCAGAAAUAUUUUUCUGAGAAUGAGGUCUUAGAUCAUUACUCUCUUCUGCUACUAAUUAUUAUGUUUUGGCAAAAAAUCCAUGGUAUGCCAUUUGCUUGAUUGUUAAUUUCUUAUUUAUUAAAUUUGAAAUGUGAUCAAUUUUCUUAAUUGCGUGCUUCUGAGGUCGAAUAACAUAUGUGUACAUUGUUGAAGGAAUGACUAAAACCCUAUGCGGCAUUUUGUUUUCUGAGAAGUCAUAUCAUAGCCAUCAUACAAUGUGUCUUAUGGAAUUGAUUACACUGCAUUCUGAAGUAAUUGAAUUAUGUACCCUUUUGGGUCUUGUAUAGUAUUAAGAGGGUGCAUUGCCUCUAUCCUUUCAGCAUAAUAGCAUGUACAUGAUACACAUACAAGGGAGUAUAUAGUUGCAAUUACUUCUGUUCUUGUUUAAUAUACCAAAACAUUUAGGCAAUCCACAAACCUCAGUCUGCUU